rnacentral:rRNA from 1 species
CUGGCGGCACUAGCGCGGUGGUCCCACCUGACCCCAUGCCGAACUCAGAAGUGAAACGCCGUAGCGCCGAUGGUAGUGUGGGGUCUCCCCAUGCGAGAGUAGGGAACUGCCAGGCUUU